AUCUGAAAUUUGUUCACUCAAGAUGAGCCUUGUAUGUUUCCUUCAAAGAGAGGUUGGGAUGGAGAGUGAAGAAGCUAGUACAAAAUGUGCAGCCUCAACCUGGGGAUGCCAUUGUUCAAAGAGAAGGAAACUAGGAAUAAAGAAAACUAUUAGAGUUCCAUCAUUUGUAACCAACAAACAAUCUGAUAUUCCUCCGGAAUAUAAUCAUUCUUGGAGAAAAUAUGG